CGAUUCAUGGGCAUAUUACCCAAUCAUCAGCACCCUAGGAAAGCUUGAGUUUAAUAGCUUCAUGAUGGGUAAUAUAUGUAUAGAUAUAAUAUCUAUAUCUAAUAUUAAUCCAAGUAUACUUACAAUAUUAGCUCAUAUGUAGUCAUUUGUGUAUACUUGCAUUCUAUCAAGCAUAGAGAUAAAAUAUAUUUUGAGAGAGAGUUAUUGUGGGAGAAAAGAGGAAGGAGGUGCCUCCACAUAGAGGAGAAGGAGAGGGAGUCUUUCAUGUCAUCUAGCUUCAUCAUAUACCAUGGAAGAAGAAGGAAAGUAGCCAUUAAAAGCAACAAGUAAGAAAAACAAACCUUAAAAUCCUAAUCUUGUUUUUUUCUUUCAAGUUUAUGAUAGGAAUGUUAUGUUGAAUUUCUAAAUGGCUAGAUUCUUGCUAAACAUGUUUAUAUAGGUUAACAUAUAUUUAACUUGUGUAUUAGUGAUUAUGUCAAAAAUUUUGAAAGAAAGCUCAAAAAUAUUUUUGCCGGAAAACUAAAAUUUAACAGCCCGCUCCUGGAGUUACUGUUCACGUUCUAUAAGUCGGAUUCAUGAUCCGUCAAAUUUGGGUGAUAGAGCUAUUCGAUACAAAGAUUCUCCAAGUGGAACGACUAAAAUCGAUUUCAAACGACUGGGUUAUGAUUUUUCUAACAAAAGACCCCGCUGUCAGAAAACACCCACUGACAGUCGGUUGUUUGGUCAUUUUCAGUGGCCUAAACAUGUCCAAAUAAACGAUCUGAUGAUCGGAUAUUGUAUUUUAAGAAGAUACGAAGAGAACAAGACGGACUAGAGGUUAAAUGGAGUUGUAGAACUCAGGAUAUGCAAGUUUCCCUCGGGACCCCAAAGUUGCCUAAUAAAUUCGCGAAUUAACAAAGCUUAAAUCCAAUUAAAUCAUUAAAAAUCAUAGUUAAUUAAUUUUUAAUGCAUGUUAAUGGAUGAUUAAACUAAUUAAAUAUAGUUUAAGUAUAUUUAAUCAUUUAUUUAUUAAUUAAGUAACAUUAAGUAAUAAUUAAAUAGAGUUAGUAUGGUUAAUUUACCUAUUGGUAAUUUAAUUACGAUUAAAUGAUAAAUAGAGUUAAUUAAUUAUUAUUUAAUUAAAAUUAAAUAAUGAUUACAGAGUAUUUAAGUUAAUAAAUUAAUUAUUUAUUAUUUAAGUAAGAUUAAGUAAUAAAUAAUGAGUAUUACUCAAUUAGAUGUUAUUUAAUUAACAUAAACUUUAAUAAAUUAAGUAAUUAUUAUUUAAUAAUAUUAAAUAAUAAUUAAAGGCAAAUAUAGUUAAUAAAUUAAUUAUUUAUUAUUUAAUUAAUAUUAAAUAAUAAAUAAGGAUUAAUUAAUUAUUAUUUAAUUAAUAUUAAAUAAUAAUUAAAUAAAAAUAAAAUGAUAGUAAUUAUUUAUUAUUUAAUUAAUAAUAAAUAAUAAAUAAGGAUAAAUAAAUAAAUAAUUAUAAUUUAAUUAAUAUUAGAUAAUAAUUAAAGACAAAUACACUAAUAAAUUGAUUAUUUAUUAUUUAAUUAAUAUUAAAUAAUAAAUAGGUGUAAUUAAUUAUUAUUUAAUUAAUAUUAAAUAAUAAUUAAAGCUAAAUAAGAUUAAUAAUUUAAUUAUUUAUUAUUUAAUUAACUUUAAAUAAUAAAUAAACAUAAUUAGUUAUUAUUUAUUAGUAAAUAUUAACUAAAGGUAAUUAAUUAAUUACUAUUUGAUUAAUAUUAAAUAGUAAUUAAAUGAAGAUAGAGUUAAUAAGAUAAAAAUAAUUUAAUUAAAUAAUUAUAACAAAUUAUUUAAGGGUUUAAUAAGUGUUUAACACUUAAAAAAAUACUCUUAAUUAAUUAAAUCACUAACAUAAGAUCAAUUAAUUGUCUUAUAGGGUUAUUGAUAGUAUAUCGAUCAAUGUGAAUUAUGUGGUAGACUUAUUUGUUAGACAAGUUCUUAGUAAACGUAUAGACGUACAAGUAUACGCAAUACUAAUUGAUAGAUCGACUUUAUUAAUGAUUAGGUCUUUUAACGCAAGUCAUUUAAUGCUAGAUUUGUGUAGCUCGUCAGACAAGCAAGUUUCUUAACUCAAAUUUGAGUUAUUAUUUUCAUAGCAUGUUAGUGGAUAAUCAUUGUUGAUUAUUCCACAUCCGUAAUGAUUAUUGAUAUUCGCAUUUUGUGCAAUUGAAUUCAUGUUCUUUAAUUAUUGAACUGUGAAUUAAUUAAAGUUCUUUUAUUAAUGAACUGUUUAUGGGCUAGAUCUAUGCUAAUUGUAUCAGCUAAAUCGAACAUGUUUAAAUUUGUUAAAUCAAAUAUGUUUUAAAAGCUGUUCCUAACCAAUUGAUUUGAUAAGGACUCAUGACUGAGAAAAAGAAUAAUUUUACUAAAGCAUUAUAUUGUAAAGGUUUAAGCAUAUAUCACCGGGUAUGAAAGGUUGAUCCUCUUGAAUACCAAAACUUAUGAAAAGGACCAGUUUAAAUACUGAUAACCUUAGUAUAUGUUCAUGGUCAUUGUUGACCACUGAACUUAAUCUUUCAAUUAUUGAAGACUUGAAUUUUCAUUCUUUCACAAACAAACGUUAUUGUUGAACAUUGAGAGUCAAAUACCUUUCUAAUCAUGAUAUAUCUCCUUUGUUUUUAAACUUGCUAAUCAAAUUAGUUGCUUACCCUUGCUAUAUCAUGACGUUUAUUUUAGCUAAGUCGAAAAGUUCCAAGAAGGAUAAAGGUUAAGGCAAAUUUCAAGAAUAGAUAUAUGUGAACGUUUAAUUAUCAUAGUAUCUGAUGUAAUUAUUUAUGUAAACAUUUUGUAAUAUUAAUGGAAUGUAAUAAGUUAUGGUUAAUAGACCUUGGGAGUUAGGUAAGACUUUAUUAUAAUGAACAAUGUAUGUUUAUUAUUCUGCAAUAAUUUAUAGAAUGUUUAUGUUGUUGAUGGAUCGUGAACACCAAACCUGAUGUUAGAGAACUAGGAUUUAGGGGCGUAAUAAGUCUUCUGCCAGAUAUCAGUAGACGAAAUUAUAUUAUUGGAGAGUACUCCCUUUCUGUAGAGACAAAAACUAGGGCUUAGCCAUAUACCCUUCUUCUUCCUUGGUGGAUCACCUCUAGAGGCCAAACGCUUGGGUGGCUAACGUUGAUCAAAGGAAGGAAUUAAACCCGCAUAUUCAAGGAGAGCACAAAGGACUAGGAGUUGAACUUGUACUUAAGGAAGCUCGAAUCUUCAAGGGUAUGAUUCUUAUUCUCCUUCUUCUUCUGUUAAUUUAUAAUAUAGCACAAAGCAUUAUCAUGGGUAUGGGUUUGUAUAAAAUUUUAAAUCCCCAUUUCUUCGCGCUUCCGCAUUAUUUAUAUGAUUUGACUACGUAAUUGCGAUAUAUACAAACUACAUAUUCUAGCUCUAAUUGAUAACGAUAUGAAAAUUUUUCAGUAGGUACAUCAUUGUACAAAGGAUCUAUAACCAUAACCCGCCAUCUUUUAAUAUCUACAACGAACAAAAAAUAAUGGGAGUUUUUAUGGUUAACUGGAAGGAAGAAAAAAUUACAGUAUGCCAUUUGCGAUUGGGCUCCUUGGUUGAAAAAAUAGGGGGCCACCUCGGCGACGUCAUAUUCCUUCUUACUUGCUAGACUGAGUUUGCGGUAUGAUGGCCACCAUUGUUUUAGUAAUUAGAAAAAACAACAACGAAUGAAAUAAUAUUUCUUUCUGUCGGGUAAGCCCUGCUAUAGAUGAUCUUCACAUAACUUCAACAUACUCAGAUACGCAUCGAUUGUCUGAUCUUAUAGCUCGCUCCCUAGAAAAAGACAUAGGAGGUCCUUAUGGACUAAUCGGUACUCGUCAUCAGGACUGACAUGAGGAAGCUGUGUUGAAUCUACCACAUCAGAAAACCAAUUUCAGUUUAGCCAGUCUACCUUUUCUAAUUUUAGUGGUUUGAGAGGAUUAUUCUUACGAUAUCCCGACUGAUCCCUUUGUAGCCAUGGAGGAUAAAUUAUAGACACGCUCUCCUCCCCACCUCGAAUAGGCUCUGAAUAUGAUUGCAGGCCGAGAGUUUCUUCUAAUAUCGGGGUCAACUGCAUCGGCUGAAAGUGAUCCGCAGUGUUAAUUCCAACAGUCAAACUCCAUUGAUGUAUGUAAUGUGGGGGACGUGUUAUGUAUGAUAGGUGUUCCUCUACAACGUCUAAUUGGAUGUCGGGCACAUAAGGGGAUCUUUGACUGUAUUGAGUGAAUGGAUUAAAAGCGGAAAAUGGCAUUUCUUGCGUUAACUGAUCUUCUGGAACAUUGUGGAUGGUUUUGUUGGGAUCUUCAAAAAAUCCCCGGUACUUUUCAUUAAACAUUACUGACCUUACAUACCAAUCUUCAUACACAUGGCGAGGGUUGUGUACAGGUGGUUUUGACAGAAGGUUUUGAACAAAAUCUCGCGCGACCUUGAUAUGUAUAUUUCAGGAUAUAUUUCAUUAGCAAGGCGUAUGUAAUAUGUUAUAGAUGUACAAUGUAUAAAAUAUUACAAAGAAACUUACGAGGCCGGCAGCUUUGUACUGACUAAAGAAGGCACGCGGUAUAUAUGUAUCGUUUGGUUGAAUUUGUGGGUGGCUUAUUCUCAAACGAGUCAUCUGCCUAUACCAGCUGAGGUAAUUGACCAGACGAAUUUCCUACCUUGUGGCGACCACACAAUCUAAUACAAUAUAUUGCCAUGCAUACCACGUGAUGAUGUAUUCUCUUUCCAACUCGAUAUAAUCAAUUGAGCAGAUCCCUUCCUGCUCUCAGCGGAGUUCGAUCGUAUAUAUCGGGUCGGGCGGAAUAUCCUAUACUUUCCCAAAUUGUCUUAAUACAUGAUCUUGAAUUUGGAAUUCAACCACGUCGAGCCAAAUGAGGGGAAUACGUGAGGCCCCACUAUAUCAUGUUACCUGAUACUCUUGUGCCACAAGAUGAUCGAAAUGUGAAUACGACAUCCAGGGUACCAUAGCAUCUGUCAUCCAAUCAAAUUCCCCCGGUAAAAGAUUUAGUUGUGAUGGGGAUAUGGUCUUCUUGCCUUUUUCAGAGUAUGAAUUUUUCUUCUGUAAGCCUAUGCUCUUACGCGGGGCAACAAAUGAUCGACCCGUCUUGCAUAAUUAGGCCUACCGAUUGAUAGACGUUCGUAGGCCCACACUUUUGUCAUAAGAUUUGAAGUUAAAACAUCGUCAUACAGUAUGUCAUCAAAUAUUAAUUUAAAUAAUCAUGAAGGUAUAGAGACAAUAAAAUACCUGAAGAAGGGUUAAACACCCAGAAAAUUUUUUAGAAUCAAGGCAGGUUGCUUUAUGUAAGCUACAGAACAAACAAGCCAACACUACAGCUCCCCAUACAUAAUCACUUACUUUAUUAAUAUCCUCUAAACAUAAAAGAUACCACGCAUGUAUGAUGUCGCGGUUUGCCAAUUCAAAUAAUACCUUCCCCAAUAUAAAUAGUACGUAUACUUUGGUGUAAGUUACCACCGUUUCCCAAUCAGCAUCUACCAAAACUUGGCAAAAUCUACUUCCCAACCACGACAACAUAAUGGCCCCUCGAGUAUACAUUUUCUCAUCCCCCAUAAUAUAUUGACUAAAUUCGCUAUCAAUAAAGUACUAUUUAGGGUUAUAGAGUAAUGUAUAUGUAAUAGGUUGCCCUAUAACUGGUGAUCCUAAAAUGAAAUGUACAUCUUCAAGUGUGACUGUCAUUUUACAAGUCGGAAAGUGAAAUGUAUUGAUCUCACUACGCCAACGCUCCAUUAAUACUUCUAUCAAAGAAGUGUCUAAUUGGUUACAGACAUUAGUAUGUAUUUGUAAAUACCCCAAAACCCCAGUCGGGUAAUAAUUCUUUUUGGGUGUCACUUAAAACUCACACUUCCAAUGAACGUCCACUCUCAUCGGUUCUUAAUGACCUAAUGUAAUGGGGAUUGUCACAUACGGCUGUUGAAAUGUGGUUUGGUUGAUCCCAUAACAAAGUGUUGAUAGUGCGUCUGGGAUUGAAUUCCAUUUCUGUAAGUAACAGAGCCAAAAUAAAUAUUUAUUGUGACGCCCCCAAAAUAUAUAUACACAACCCAUCCUGAGUCGCCAAAUACAUGGUACAUAAUUUAAAUACAAACUUCGUUUAUACAAUACGACAAAACGUAGUUGAGAGUUUUAACACGAAUAUUGUCUCGUAGACAAUAUCCAAACUCAAAUGGAGUCCUCAUUACAUUUAUUAUCACAGUAUUUCAUAGAAUAGUGAAGACUACUAUAGCCACCAUCUUGGACCAUUACUCCGUUUCCCGACUAGUCCCAGCUAUAUUCUCAUUUUCUAAAGAGAACAAUAAAAACAAAGGGUGAGCUCAACUAGCCCAGUAAAGAAUAUUAUGACUAAGAUAAUGCAGAAUAAAUUAUCGUUAGCCUUCAACAGUGUUAAACUGAUAGAAUACAAUAGACAACAAGUUUAAUUACAGCGGAACAAACGAUCCAUUAGAAGAGUCAAUUAGAGAAUGAUAUCUACUAUCUUCUAUGAUUUAAAAGUUCAUCAUCAAUAUUUUAUCGCUGUAACACAGCUCAAUAAAUAAUCCAUAUCAUCGAACUAUCCAUGCACUACGGGCCAAAGAUAUUCGUUAGUAUCACAUCCAUGAAUUAUCCAUGCACUACGGGCCAAUGAUAUUCAUUAUUAUCACAUCCACGAAUUAUCCAUGCACUACGGGCCAAGGAUAUUCGUUAUUAUCACCAGUGGAAAUGAUCAUGCCAACAAUUAUCCAUCAAUGCACUACGGGCCAAUGAGGACUUUUACCACAUCAUUUGUAACAAUACAGGUCAUGAUUAUACCGAAACAUAAUUCCUGGUCAUAAUCAUACCAAUUAACAGUCCAUCUAUGCACUACGGGUCAAAGAUGACUUUUAUCACAAUCUAAACAUGAGGAUGAUGACAAUGAUAUAAGCAUCAAUCAAAUGAAACCAAGGAUAAAUAUUAAAGAUUUUUAAUUUAUCCUGUUUAAAAAAAUAUCCAAAUUGCCAAUAUAAUAACUGCUUUGUGUAGUAAAAUUUAAGAAUAAUAUUUACGUAUCAAAAAUAAUUUGGACAGAAAAGAAUCAAUUUUUCGUCGUAAAUAGUAACCCAUGAAUAGUACUUCAUGAAUAGUACCUUGUGAAUAGUACUUUGUGAAUAGUAUCUCAUGAAUAGUACCGUACGUAUGAAUAGUACCGUACGUAUAAAUAGUACCGUAUAAAUAGUAUCGUAUGUAUGAAUAGUGUCGUAUGUAUGAAUAGUACUCAUGAAUAGUACUCCGGCAUGAAAAGAUUAAAAUUUAACGAGAAUGUUCAAAAAGAUAUUCUUGUGAAACGAUACUAGAUGAAGCGUAAAUUUCAAGGAUAUUCUACUAAUUUCAAGGAGUAAAGAAGCAAUACUCAUCAACAUGACUGUAGAAUUAGGAAUAUGAAACGAAAUAAUAUUACUUACAUAUUACAGAGUAUGGAAGAAAAUAUUAUUUCUUACGAAUAUUGAACAAAAAUAAUAUCCCUUACAACUGUUGAACGAAAAUAAUAUUCCUUACGAAUAUUGAAAGAAGAUAAUAUUCCUUACGAAUAUUGAACGAAAAUAAUAUUCUUUACGAAUAUUGAACGAAAAUAAAAUUCCUUGCGAAUACGAAAAAUAAUAUCGUAAGCGAAUAUGAAAUAAAUAAUACCCCUUACCUUAAAAGAAGAGUAUUUCUGACUAGUACGACGGGGAUAUUCUUGAAGAAAACUUGUACUAUUUUCUACACUUAAAGCUUCCUUAAACUCUAAAGAAAUACGCUCAAUAUUAUAGAAGAAGAAUUCUCUGAUUCUGGUGUGAUUUUCAUUUCUAAACUAAGCAUCCUAUUUAUAGGAGAAUGGAAUGAUAUUAUGUAGAAAAUAAAAGCACGGACGCAUAGUAAUUGAAAAUUCACGGGCGACGUUCGGCUGAAACUUUAAAAAAAUUUAAUUUUACUAUGCAACACAAUACAGUACUAUGCAUAAUANNNNNNNNNNNNNNNNNNNNNNNNNNNNNNNNNNNNNNNNNNNNNNNNNNNNNNNNNNNNNNNNNNNNNNNNNNNNNNNNNNNNNNNNNNNNNNNNNNNNAAAUAUUAUAUAUAUAUAUAUAUAUAUAACAAAACUUUCUACCGAUAAUUUUGAAAAAUGGGUAAGUGAGGGUCCAUGUAAUAAGCCAAAUUUACAACAAUUACGUCUUAAAAUACCCCUCUAUUUAUCUCAAUUCCUUUGGCUUCACUAAACACAUUUUUAAUAAUAUUUAUCCAUCAUUAAUAUUAUAACUCAUAAUAUUAACAACCAGAUCAUUCACAGGAAAGAGGUGGCUUUCCGAUAAGGACUUCUCCUUAUUGGCAUGCAAUUAGGUGAUCAAACCCCUUUCCUCGACAGAACUUUCUAGACAUUGUCAUUAAUGCAAGUAAUAAUAUGAAUAACUUUGUCGUCUCAAUUAUUGAUUUAAUAAUAUAAAAUAUUAUAACAAUAAUUAAAUCAAUAAUGUGAGAUACUAUGCAGCAAUUACUAUGAUAAUAAUUGAAUAAAACUGAGUGACUUCUCACAUAAGCAUCAAUAAUCAAAGAUACUGUACAAUACCGUGUGCUACCAUGCAACCACGCGUAUUACUGUACUUUUAUCACCAGGUAUUUCAACAGUUAACGGUAAUAGUUUUGCCGUUAUUUUUAUAAAAAGUUAUUUCUGUCAUUUUCUAACUCCGACAAUAAUUCUGUUAUGGGGUCCACCAAUGAUUGUGUCAUCGUAUAAAUAUUUUCUGAUAAAACGAAUAUUCACCGACCAAAUGAAUAUUUUAUAACAACUUACUUACUUUGCAAAAUUUGUAAACAUUACCCACAACUAUAACAUUAUAUCAAAUCCACACCUUAUUAUUCAAAAUAACAUUUAUUAAAUCUUUAUUCAUAAAAGUUGGGGUCUUACAUUUAUCAACAACACAAACAACAUAGAUAAAACACCAUUAACUCUUAAAUUAAACAACACAUAUAUUUUUGGAGAAGUGAACAAAAACAAAAUAAACGUCCAUCAACUCUUAAAGUGUACAACAUAGAUUUUUUUUUAAAAAAAAUAAACUUCAAAUUUCACUAAUAAACAACCAUACAUAUAUGUUGGAGUGUAUCAAUGUUGUAAGGUUGGUUGUAAGGAUUUACCGAACUCCUUUUGAUUUGUUACUUUCGUCUCAAAUUCGCUACAACGAUUGUCGCUUAAGUUUUUUGAUUGCUUUGAACAAUAUCAGAUGGACAAGAUGGAACAACUUAAAAUUUUGUUUGGAUGCAAGGCGUCAUUUUGUAUACCUAGCGUCCGCAAUAUUAAACCGUGGACGAUUAAUACCUUCAGCGACGUCGUUUUGUAUACCUAGCAUCAUUAUAUUUGAAUUUAAAACGGCACCAUAUCCAAUUAUGUUUGAAUUAAAAACGGCACCGUAUCCAAUUAUGUUUGAAUUAAAAAUGGCGUCGUAUCCCAUUAUUGAAAACGACGCUGUCCUAUUUUCGCUUCAAUAUCCAAACUUUCGACUUACCGGUAACGACCUCGUGUUGUAUACCUAGCGUCCAUAGUAUUAAACUGCGAACGAAACCUUUCACUAUUAAUAAUGUACGACUUCAUUUAAAUACUUGAACUAGCGUUCGUAGUAUUAAAUUACGUAUCGUAUGCCAACAAUGUACUACCAAUAAUGUACGACGUCGUUUAAAUCCUUCAACUAGCGUCUGCAGUAUUAAACUGCGUACCGUAUGCCAACAAUGUACUGCUAGGAUGGGUCAAUUAUUUAGUUCUUCUAUACAAACCCUGGAAGUGCCAUCACAACAAAUUGAUGAGGUUUAUUGAUGUAUAACCUCAAGAUGUUGUAAUGGACACUCCAAGGUUUGAAUAGAGGAACUAAACAAUUAACCUAUCCUGGCAGUACAUUUUUUGAGACAUCUAGGCGUUAAAUUAAGUUUAUAAAGCUAAAAAUCAUAUGUCCUACAUAUUCUUGUUAGUAGUUAUAUAUUCAAGUGAUUCGGGAUAAUGAGAAACACACAUGACAACCAAAAUUGGAAGCUUUGAUAAAGCGUCUCAAUCGGAUAAUGCUUCAAAUUCAGAACAAAUUAAGGGCUUCCAGAUGUUGUGCCCUCCAAAAAUGGUGCCACACAUGUCUCUUCAUCCUAGAUCACAUGAAUCGGUAACAACAAGAAUAUGCUAGAAGAAACAAAAAAUUCUUGAGCUUUAGGUCGAACUCUUUGUGUGUAUCCAGGAUUUCUUCUUACAUUUCUAUAUCGUCUUAUAUAUAGGGGACCUAACGUCCGCAGUAUUAAACUACGGACUAGACCGUUAAGUUCCAUCAUUUGAAUAUGACGACGUCCGACUGUCGCUUCAGUAUCCCAAUCGCAAUAUUAAGNNNNNNNNNNNNNNNNNNNNNNNNNNNNNNNNNNNNNNNNNNNNNNNNNNNNNNNNNNNNNNNNNNNNNNNNNNNNNNNNNNNNNNNNNNNNNNNNNNNNAUAUAUAUAUAUAUAUAUAUAUGUAUGUGUGUGUGUGUGUGUGUAUGUGUGUGUGUGUGUGUGUAUGUGUGUGUGUGUACCUCCACCGACAUCAAAUCAAAUUAAUUUAAAUUUAAUUUUUAUUAGUUAGGAGUUAAUUUUAUAUAUAUGAUCUAACAUUAAAUUGUAUUUAUACACACACUUGGCUUAAUUGUCCCCCAUGAGAGAAAAUGACACCCAACACCCACCCUCUAAAUUUAAAUAUCUCCUCGAGAUUAGCUUAGACCAUUUAAUAUUAAUUACAACUAUAUAUAUAUAUAUAUAUAUAUAUAUAUAUAUAUAUAUAUACACACACACACAUGCGCGCGCAAGGACGUCAAGUUAAGUUAAGUCAAAUCAAAUCAAAUUUUAUUUUUAUUAAUUAGAAGUUGUAUAUAUAUACGAUCUAACACUAAAUGUAGAAUACAAUCUCCUUGAUUAAUUUCAAUUUUGUGAUUAUGAUGGUAGUCAUGUAUUAAAAGUUAUAACGCAUUGCGUUGAUUAAUAAAAUGAUCAUAUAUUCAAAGACUAUUCAAUGAGAAGUAAUUAAUGAGUAUUUCUUAGAUUCCUAGAGAUACCUUUUAAGUUGAUCCGUUUUGACCCUUCUAUAUAGUUAUACGUUAUGGUGAUGGUUCGAUGCGUCGCUGAAAACUAAGAAGACGGUUCUUUGAUAUACGUGACGGAUCGAAUCGUCGCCCAAUCCGUCGUUAAAAAUGGUGAGCAAGGUAUGUUCAAUUUUGUGAUUAUGAUGGUAGUCAUGUAGUAAAAGUUAUAACGCAUUGCGUUGAUUAAUAAAAUGAUCAUAUAUUCAAAGACUAUUCAAUGAGAAGUAAUUAAUGAGUAUUUCUUAGAUUCCCAGAGAUACCUUUUAAGGUGAUCCAUUUUGACCCUUCUAUAUAGCUAUAUGUCAUGGUGAUGGUUCGAUGCAUCGCUGAAAAUUAAGACGGCGGUUCUUUGAUAUACGUGACAGAUCGAAUCGUCGCCCAGUCUGUCGUUAAAAAUGGUGAGCAAGGUAUGUUAAAUAAAGGGGUAUACACUUGAU
rnacentral:lncRNA from 1 species